AUUGUAAAAGCAGGUUCCACUGCAACAAUGCUUUAGCGUAAUUAUGAGUCAUUUGCUUUGGGGGCAAGAAUUCUUUCUUUGAACACCGUAAACAAAGCCCCGGAGUCCUCCCCAAAUACCCAUUUUGUUUUUGCUAUUCCAUUAUGACAGAAUCAACCCCCAUAUGAUGUGCAGUAUUUCGUACCAGUGUUUAGGUCACAUUUAGUUUUCCAGUGUCCAGUGACAGAGAAACAUAUCUUAUUGUUUUUAUUUAUUGAUUUAUUUUGUUGAAUUUUUAUUUAUUUUUUACCAUUUGUCGAGAGACCUAUCUGGUGGUGUCUCACGGAAUUGCAGGACUGAUUAUUGGAAAGUCAGUUUAUAAUUGGCAGCUAGCUCCAUUUGAAUGAUACAGCAGCAACACCUGGUCAACAGCAUCGGCUUUUAGGCCUCCUGCUCCUAGAGGGAAGUGGUGUGAGGUGAUGCAGAGGCUCGCCUCGCAGGGCGCUUUUAGGCCUCCUGCUCCUAGAGGGAAGUGGUGUGAGGUGAUGCAGAGGCUCGCCUCGCAGGGCGCUUUUAGGCCUCCUGCUCCUAGAGGGAAGCGGUGUGAGGUGAUGCAGAGGCUCGCCUCGCAGGGCGCUUUUAGGCCUCCUGCUCCUAGAGGGAAGCGGUGUGAGGUGAUGCAGAGGCUCGCCUCGCAGGGCGCUUUUAGGCCUCCUGCUCCUAGAGGGAAGUGGUGUGAGGUGAUGCAGAGGCUCGCCUCGCAGGGCGCUUUUAGGCCUCCUGCUCCUAGAGGGAAGCGGUGUGAGGUGAUGCAGAGGCUCGCCUCGCAGGGCGCUUUUAGGCCUCCUGCUCCGGCUCCUAGAGGGAAGCGGUGUGAGGUGAUGCAGAGGCUCGCCUCGCAGGGCGCUUUUAGGCCUCCUGCUCCUUGAGGGAAGCGGUGUGAGGUGAUGCAGAGGCUCGCCUCGUAGGGCGCUUUUAGGCCUCCUGCUCCUAGAGGGAAGCGGUGUGAGGUGAUGCAGAGGCUCGCCUCGCAGGGCGCUUUUAGGCCUCCUGCUCCAGCUCCUAGAGGGAAGCGGUGUGAGGUGAUGCAGAGUUUCGCCUCGCAGGGCGCUUUUAGGCCUCCGGCUCCUAGAGGGAAGUGGUGUGAGGUGAUGCAGAGGCUCGCCUCGCAGGGCGCUUUUAGGCCUCCUGCUCCUAGAGGGAAGUGGUGUGAGGUGAUGCAGAGGCUCGCCUCGCAGGGCGCUUUUAGGCCUCCUGCUCCUAGAGGGAAGUGGUGUGAGGUGAUGCAGAGGCUCGCCUCGCAGGGCGCUUUUAGGCCUCCUGCUCCUAGAGGGAAGUGGUGUGAGGUGAUGCAGAGGCUCGCCUCACAGGGCGCUUUUAGGCCUCCUGCUCCUAGAGGGAAGCGGUGUGAGGUGAUGCAGAGGCUUGCCUCGCAGGGCGCUUUUAGGCCUCCUGCUCCUAGAGGGAAGCGGUGUGAGGUGAUGCAGAGGCUCGCCUCGCA